AAAAAAGCAUGUGGAAGUUAACUAGAAUUCAAACAUCACUCGCAUUGGUUAAAGGGAACAACAAACUCCGUACGAGCGCCUACAUAUUAUUUAAAUAAUGCCCCAAGAAUAUACGGGUCGGGUUAACCCGAAGCAACUCUGAAAAUCCCCCAUUUAAAUUGCCCUAGCUAGGUCACCGGAAAAACCAUUCAUAUCUGCCGGACCUUCUCUACAGUGUGGGAGGUUGGAAGCUGAGGUGAAAGUUGAUAAAAGAGUGAAUUUUGUGUGUUGGGGGGAAUGAGCUGAGUUGAUAAUGAGUAGACUCUCAUUUAGACCGCGUCCUCUUGAUAUUCACAAGAAGUUGCCAAUUUUAAAGUCUAUCAAGGAUUUUGAGGAUGAUGAUUCCCAGACUAAUACCCGAAACCUUAUUCUUCGUCUCGCUGCUGAAGCUACCGAAAAUGAGGUACCACAAACUUCUAGCAAGAAGUUGGCUCCCGAAAUACCUACUCCUGAGUAUGUUGUUGUGGAUACAUACGAAAGAGAUUAUUCGCGAACUUUUGCUCAGCCGACAUCAUAUAUACAUGCUAGAGGAGCUCGGGCUGAGAUUGGAGAAUUCGUUGAAUAUGAUCUUGACAAUGAGGACGAAGAUUGGCUCAAAGAAUUCAACAGAGAAAGAAAGGUUCUUGCGGCUGAAACGUUGGAGACGAUUUUGUUCAAACUUGAAGUUUUAGAUCACAAGGCCCGAGAAAGAGCAGGAGUUAUAGUAAAUACGCUUGGCUCGCCAGUUCCUGUGCUUCUCAGUUUUGAUGCUGCUGUUGAGGCCUUGCAAUCUUUAUCCAUUAAAUAUGGAGUAUUCCAGUCUAUUUAUAAUUACUGGAAGGAUAAGCGGGAGCGGUGGCAGAAGCCUUCUCUUCGGCGUUUGCAGCCGCCUCCACCAGUUAAUGACACAAAUCCAUAUAAUGUAUUUAGGCCAAGGGAGAAGGCCCACAGACUUCAUACAAGAAGGAUGCAAAGGAGGGAAAACAAUGCACAGUCAUUUGAAAAGCUUCGCCAGGUUAGGCGCAACCUUGACCAAGCAAAGAUCAUUCUUGAGGCUCUCAUCAAGAGAGAGGAGAAGAAGCGAGAUUUUAUUGAGAGUGAGAUUAGUCUCCAGAGACUUCAAAUGAAACACAAGAAUGAAACUGAGCUUCUUGAGGAUACCUUGGCUCUGCCUGAAUUUCCUUCCUUCCCAAGUAAGGUUGGUUCAAGUGAGGACGAAUUUGCCGACUCUGAUGAUCCUUCUAUUGGCCGUCCACAUGAUAGGCAUGUGACACAACACAUAACCUUCCCCGACACGAAGCCGGUGACAGCUUCUCCUAGAAUGAUGAGGCGAGAGUUCAAGCGAAGACGUGUGCCGCAUGGAUGGCUCCAUAAAUUGGAUCCAAACGAGCCCCCACUGCUGUUCACGAAACCUCUGGACCCAGCCAAAUUGUCUGCUGCAGGCAUUAUACCUCCAGGUUCUCCAACACCAAAUGGCCUACCUGUCCGCACAUUUAGCUUUCGUGGAAGGAUGGGGCGAGGUGGCCGCAUCGUGUUCGAUAGAUGGAACCCACUUAGCCAUACACCAAUCGAGUGCGGUGAUACUUUAUAUGUUCCACCGAAGGCCCGGCAUUCUGCACAUCAAUGAAAUAUUCAGCAUUUCAUGAGCUUGUGUCUCAAUCCCCUUAAAAGUUGUAUAUGUGUAUGAUAUUUGCAAGGAUGAUGCUAAAGAUAGAAGGGAAAUUUUUGAGCCAGUGACAAUCGAAGAACCAAGACUCAGUUUUGGACUUUGAAGAGGCACGGAAAUAUUUAACAAAAGUGCUGAAGGCAGGUGCCGUAGAAUGCUUAAAGCAUCGUUUUGCCGUGGUGGCCUGCCCUUUUCUUUUUUGCAGGUGCAGGGUGUACCAUUUAUUUCCAAGUUAAGAAAUGAAAGCAUCUCUCUGCCCAAUUGAACAAUAUUUCCAAGUCAGGACAGGUGUAGAAAAAGAGGAAAAAGUAUCUUCUUCCCUGUCUUUGUAGAAUGUUGUUGAUGAGGUCUAUUUAAGUACAUGCCCACGUAGAUAAUGCAUGUCUUCUGUUGUAAAUGAAGGAUGAAGUUGGCCAGGUUUAGCGAUUCAGUUUUAAUUAGGUCUGUUUAUUUUCAUAUCUUGCAAUUUUCCAGUUUUACUUUAUUACGGGAUGUUAUAAUGUUUAGUGUAAAAUGAAGUCCUAUUGGAAAAGUGAUAUUUCAAAGGCACGACUGAGUAAAGAGCAAAUGAAUCUUUGUGUGUGUA